GAGGCUCGCGCGCGCCGCGGUGGCGUUCGGCCGUCCCGGGCGGGCGGCCUCGAAUCGAACGGGCGAGCAACGGCCGUUCCUGGCGGCCUGCGCCCCG
rnacentral:tRNA from 1 species